CCUGUCAUCUCUAAGCUCCUCACACAUCUUUACCUGCACAUGAGGAAAAUCACUCCUGUAGAAUGCAGAUGUUCAGAGGGAGAUGAUGCCACAUCUGGUCCAGCCGAUGGAAGGUGUUGAAGUUCUCUGACUGGCCUCGACUGAAGAUGGUCCUCUCACUGGAUUUAAGGUUCAGAUGCUCAGUAACAAACUCCACCAAUGAGCCAACAGGGAAGCUUUAGGUUUAUUAAAUGUUGCUAUGAAGGUUUCGUUGUUUUUCUUUGUGAAUGCAAUGUGCUCCAACUGAAACUUGAAUUAGAACUAAGUAAGUAAAUCCUUCCAUCUGAAAGGAUUUAGUUGCAUUAAUAACCUCAUAACAUUCUAAUUUUUAUUUCAGUCUUGGUUGGAAAUAGAAUCUCUGUAUUGAUUCAGGUAAAAACUGAACUUCACAGCAUGUUGGAGCAAAACAACCAGAUGAAAACUGUGAUGGUGUUGGAUUGUCAGACCGUAAUGUUGCAGCUCAAAGCAGCUUUUCUAGCUCAGUUCAUUCUGACAUUCAGCUAUGAAUCAACACAGCAGAUGGUGAUCCAUGCUGUGGAAGUCUCACAUCUCCUGAUUUAAUGGAGAUGCUUUGCACUUUUUACACUGUUUAUUCACCAACACUUUAUUUAAUAAAAGUCCCAUCUAGUUUUUAUGAGGAAUGUGAUGUUUUAAUUUCUCUGUGAAUAACUGCAGUCUAAUGCAACAGCUGGAAUUGUAACAUCUGUCCUCAUAUUGAUCUUGAAGUAUUGAUCAGAAUACUUAUGGUCAGCAGUCAUCCCUGAAGUUUUACAUUAAAAUCUUUACUUGUGUUGUGAACUUUGGUAAGAAGCAGAAACGUUAGCGUUGCCAUGGAUACAUGAGUGUUAAAUUCUGUCCAUGUUUCCAUUUUGGGAAAGUCAGUCCAACAGAUGAGUUUGUUUUUACUGCCAGCUACCAUUCAGUCUGAGAUAUUAAGAAUAAAUAAAUGUGCAUAAUGUGGAAAUGAACAGAUUCUAUUUUUAUUUAUUGCUACAGCUGCUGCAGGUAAAGUUAUAGGAUGUGGAGGAAGUUAGUCUCACAAUCACAGACAGUAAAUAUUAUCUGAAAGUCGGGUUAUUGUUGUUUAUCAGCACAAUACAAAAAGAUUAACGUUAGAAAUAUUCCAGUUAAUACUCUAGAAUAUCAGGAUUUAUGUAAAUUUACCUCAAUAAUAUGAAUGUUCAGGUUAAGAUUGUGCAGUGAUAUUUAUUAUGUAAGUUUAGCUGAUUAAAGUUUAUGACUCUGCACUACAAUAUUAUUUAUUAUUUAAAUUUACAUUAUUAUAAUAUUUAGGGUCAGACCCUACAGUAUUGCGAUUAAGAAAUCAAAUAUUGUAUAAAAUAUAAAUGCACUGAACUCACUUGGAUAUAUUUAAGUGAGACUCUACAAUAUUAUUUGACACAAAUCUAUCUAAAUCAAAAUUUUAAUAAUUUUCACGCCAAACAUUUACUGGACUGAUUUAAAUAUUAAAAUCACUCCUUUCUAAUCCUCUGCUGUACGUUCAAACCUGAAGCCUUAAAUAGAAACACACAAGUAUCUGAUUGAAAGAACUUCUGCAGAGUCCUGGUUCCAGAAUAUGAUGAUAGAAUUAUAGACAAACUUUAACAAAAGCUGCCUGAGAGUUUACAGGUUUUUAUGUUAGAUUUCUUCAGUAAUUUAAUGAGUUAUCAGCAAUAAUCAAGUGUUCAUUUGAUGAACUUCAUUUCCUAAAACAUCCAGAAUUGGAGCUCAUAUCUUUGGCAGCUGUAAAGUUUCUGCUCCUUCAAAGUUCACAACACAAUGAAUGAAUUCCUAAAACACUCUCAAUGCUGGAGAGCGUUUGAUGCUGAAGCAGUGAUCAGUUUUUCUGUUUCUUCUCUGGAGAUGCACAAUGAGGGACGUCUGCAGCGACUGAGAAAGAGUCUCACCACAUCCUGACAUGAGGAAAAAGACUUUAUUGAAGACUGCAAUGAGAAAAACUAUCAGACAGCAGACGGCAUGCAUUCAAGUCUGUAGCUGCUGAAUUCAUGGAUGAAUCAUCUGGCACUAGAGAGGAAGACCAUCAAACAUCCACGUCAGCUGAUGGAGGUCCAAGAGUCUCACCAAACAACCAACCUACAGAGUGAAGACCUCGAAUCUGAUUGGACGGCCUCCUAUUCAGCCACAUUUUAGGCUGUUAGAUUGUUCCAGAUAAGACAAGUACAAGAUUCUUCAGAGCCGUUCUACCACGAGCCUGACAGGAAGAACUCCAACAGCUACUGAAUGUUCCUGUGGUUCCCUCAAGGCUACAGGAGGAGUCCUACGAGGACGAGCCGGUCCACCUGAUGGAGGCCAGUCGCUGCGGUUCAAAGCCAACACCGACUACGUGGACUUCUACUGGACCACAGGGAGGCCUUCAAACCGGACCAACAAGUUCAGCGACUCCCCGACUCGUGGGUCUGAGGACGCCGCCGAGCCUCGGUCCAGCCGGCCUCCUGUCUGUGGGUGUUUGAGUGCUGAGAGGUUUGUGGAUGCAUGUGAACGUUCUGUGUUGAAACUGCAGCUUUUGACUCACUAACGCCGGGAAAAACCAAGAGCUCCUUUAUUUGUGACUUCCACUAAAAAAAACUGAUGAAAAUAAGUUUGCCAGGGUUCUGACUGAUAACAGAUUAUUAAAUAAUGAAAAUAACAGUUUAAGUGUUCCUUUAAACAAUCCUUUUAGGUCUACAUUUCCUUUACACUGACUUCUUGGUAUAUGUACAAGUAUUUUGGGUUGAAUAUACCAUUAAGCCCAAUGUUCUGGGGUUCUUCUGGGAAUAUACCAUUAAACCAAAUUUUUAGGUAAAUGUUCCAGGAUGUUGGGUAGAAUAUACCAUCAGAUCAACCUUUCAGGUCUACAUUGGAAGAUUUUAGAGUAGAAUAAUAAUCCAAACCAUCCUUUAGGUCUACAGUUAAGGUGGAAUACUCCUUUACACCAAGAUUUUUUGGUCUACAUUGAAGGGUUUUAGGUGGAAUAUUCCUUUGAACGAACUUUUUAAAUUUAUGUUCAAGGAUGUUGGGUGGAAUAUACCAUCAGACCAACCUCCAAGGUCUACAGUAGUGGAUUUUAGGUGGAAUAUACCAUUAAACUCACCUUUUAGGUCUACAUUGGAGGGUUUUAGAUGGAAUUUUCUUCCAAACCGUCUUUUAGUCUACAUUUAAGGAUGUUUAGGAUGGUAGAUUCUUCCAAACCAACUUCUCAGGUCUACAUUUCAGGUGGAAUAUUCCUCCAUACUAACUUUUUUGGUCUACAUUGAAGGAUUUUUUCUAAACCACCCUUUCAGGUCUAUAUUUGAGGUUUUAGGUGGAAUAUUCCUUUUAACCAGCACCUCAGGUCUGUUUGAGGAUUUUGGAUGGACUCCACGGUUAAACCAACAUUUUAGGUGCAUGUCCAAGGAUUUUUGGUGGAAUGGUCCUUUAAGGUGGAUGUUUGAGGGCCUUGUAGGUGGAAUACUUCCUGAAACCAACCUUUUAGGUCAACAUUCAAAGAUUUAAGGUGGAAUGUUCCUUUAAAUCAAGCUAAAUUUCAUGUUUUGAUCAUUAUCAAGUGAGAAACCUCAAUCCAGACUCCUCAUAAUGACAUUUGAGAUUCAUGCUGCUAUUUGUUUAGUCCAGACUAAAUGACAGAAAUCCACAACUGUAAUUUUAUUUCAUGACUCGGUUAUUAAAUGUCAAAACAAUCCAUGUGACUAUAAAACUCAACAGCUUUACAAACUCUAAGAUUAAACUCCCCACAAGGAUCCAAAAUAAGUUGGACUUCUACAUGAGAGCUUUAAUUAUUCUUC
ensembl:lncRNA